rnacentral:lncRNA from 1 species
AAUGAUUUUCACGAUAACAAUCAAAUAACUAAAAUCUAAAGUUAAACGGUUAUUUCCCCUUUCCUCUCUCUUCUCUCCUUCUGAAACCCUAACUGUCACCACUUUCUUCUUCCUCUUGUUGUCAGAGGGGUAAUUUUGGGUCAAUUUUGACCUAAAAAUCACCCUCUGAUUUGUUUUUCCUUCUACCCUAAUUGAAUAAGUGAUUUCACAUUUUUUCUGUUUUCUUUUGUGAUUUCGUCGUCUCUGAACGACUCUGUUUGUUUUGAUUUCCCGUCUUUGUGCGGUGUGUUUUUGAUUUCCCGUCUUAGUGCGGUGUUUAUUUGAUUCAGGUUGAAAGAUUAGAUUUGAGCAAGUGCAGAUCCUAUCAAUGACAAUGACUUUGGCGUCGUCAACGUUGCAGAUCCGAAGACAUGAGGAUUCUGGAGAUUUGAAUAUAGUCAUAUUAGUCAUAUUUGUAGGCAUGGGUACCGGGUACCUUGCC